rnacentral:lncRNA from 1 species
UAGUAUUCAGUAUAUUCAAUUGGUUAGGUUAGGUUAGGUUAGGUUAGGUUAGGUUAGGUUACUUUACUAAAUUAUUACUUUAUUAUACUAUACUUUACUUAACCCACCCAAAUCCCCUAUUUUCCUCACUUUACUCACUCACUCAUAUUUUCAUUCACUUUACUUUACUAAAUUAUUACUUUAUUAUACUAUACUUUACUUUACCCACCCAAAUCCCCUAUUUUCCUCGCUUUGCUCGGGCUCCGUCCCGUUUAGUUUCUUCAGUAGUAUAAUUAUAAGUUAAGUUAAAUAAGAUUAAGUUAAGUUAAGUUAGUUAAGUAAAAAUAUUAAGUAUACUUUGGUCGGGUAAAAUAGACUUUUACCUGAAGAUCUAAAGUUUAUUUGUAGCUUAAUGCCAGACCAGCUCUGAUUGGAUUUGUAUCAUUCUCUUCCACUUACGAUGGACCCUUAAAAGAUUCUUAAGUCAGCAAGAUUCACCAUGAUUAUCCAGCCAGUUAUUCAUCACAUGAUGCAGUUGUUGUUGGUGCUCGUGGAGCUGGAUUUUGUGCAGAUUUUGGUUGACUCGCAGGCAUCAUAAAUCUUCAAUAGGUGUUGUUCGAUCUUGAUGAAAUGAAUCCUAUCAAGUUACGUUAUAGGGCACAGGAAUCCCUUUCUGGAAGUCCACUGGGAAUAUGUGUUGAAAGCGGCAAAACUCUUCUGAUGGUACCAUCAAAGAGAGAGAAAGACAUCAGAUGAACAUCGAGAUCCCACCACCACCCCCCAGACCAGAAUUUGAUAGUUCUAGGGAGAAGUUGCAGAAACUUGGAGAAGGAGAGGUUUCAAUGACGGCAAAGGAAUUCAAUAAGAUGAAGCUAAAGCUAGAAGCGGAGGCUUUGGCCACAUAAAAAAAAAAAAAAGUUGCUUUGCAUGAAGUUUUCUUAAGCAGACUGGAGAAUCAUCCCAUAUUCAGAGCUGAUACGAUUUUUCGUGUUUUUCUUGAAUACGAACAAGAUUUGUCCGUACGAGAAAAAAACAAAAAGGAGAAACUGUUAGAUCGUUUUCUACAACGACUGAGAGAUAUUGCUUGGGUCUACAUAAAAGGACGUUGACGAGUUUUUCGACAAGGAAAAGAACUUUAUCCUAGAUUAUCAAUCACUGUUAAAAGAUGCAACUUUUAGGGCUGACAAGUUGACCGAAGCUCAUAAAGAUUUUCCAUCGGGAACAUUACUUUGAAAAUGUUUCAGGAACUUUCCACUCUUCACACACAAGCAGUAGCCUCCACAGAUAUCCAGUCCUUUGAAGACUCUAAAAUAAAGAGGGAAUUAAAAUUGUUUAAUGAAAUGUACAAGCAACUUUUUUCUCAUUAUCUUAUACUUCUCUAAUUCAGCUGACAUUUCUCUACUGGACCAGUCUCGAUAGUAGCUUACUGAACGAAUACCUAGUGACAUUCUGGAUAAUUCCUCCAAGACUUGUUCGAUGGGACAGAUAUAAUUACUUGGCACAGUAAUUUUUCAUCAUGCAACAGAAAAGCUGCUCGCAAGGCUUACUAAGAUUUUCUUUUCCUUUUUGUUUCCGUUGUAGAACUGGAAGCCCAUUUUUCCCUGGAAAUAUAACAACAAUUUCUUAACAAAUCAUUGAACAAGAA